GGGUAGCCUAGUGGUCAUGGCAUCUGUCCCGGUAAGCGGAAGGUCGUGGGUUCGAUUUUUUUAUUUUUUAUUUUAUCCAUUCUGACCA